GAGAUGAUGACACAAUGGUAGUGUGUCCGACUGAUUAAUACGGAUCGCCCUGGUUCAAUUCCUGGUCAUCGCC